rnacentral:pre_miRNA from 14 species
GAGCCCAUCCCUGCCAGGCCCCUGUCCAAGGCUCUUUUCACAUUGUACUACUGUAUGAGCCCCUGCCAAGCAAUGCAAUGUAAAAAGGGCAUUGGGUAGGUGGUCCCCACCAUGCCCACCCA